CAUAAACAGACAAACUUCACUUAUACAGAAUUUCCGGGGCUAGAUGUUAAUAUCGUCGAAGUGGUUGCUAGCAACCUUUCAAGGGAUAACUGUCAGUGGUCCUGACUAUUCAUGAGGAUUUAUCACUACUUGUUUGGUUAGGAAAUGUUGUUUUGGAGAGAGUAGAUUGAGACAUAACCUGGCUUGUUUCUGUACCGUUGAUAUUGCCCUUAAUGCGGUAAUAAUAACAACAGGGUUAACUAGUCGAUUAAGGAGAAAAUAGAGAAAAUUUAUUAGUUUAGUUGUGCUCUCGAAAUAAACAAUGAAUGAAGAAAAGAAGGAAUCGCCACUUAAAAAAUUACGCUGGUCGAGGAAAAAUACAGUGAGGAAAAUGGCUCUUGUGUUUUCCGGAUUUUUGGGAAUGGUAGGGCUCUUAUUGAGCCCGUCAUUAUAUGCCAUGGCCUUUCCUGAGGACUGGAAGGAAUAUAGACGGAAAAUGACUGCCCAUAUACCCCCUGAUAAACGAGUAGACUAGGAAAUUGAAGUAAACACUCGUUUUAAAUCAUUUAUAUUGAUUUGUUUUAAAUUAUGUACACAGAAUAAAUGAUUUAACAUUGUCA